rnacentral:lncRNA from 1 species
AAUGAUCAGUAGAUUGAAUGGAUUGAAACUACUUACCACACAAUACACAAGAUAAUUGCAAUUUCAGUAACACUAGCAUAUUUUAUGAAUAUUAGCUGAUAGAAGAUUAAACGCAAAAUACUUAUACUACUUUAGCAGAGGUGCACAGAUAAAGCAUUUGCCGGAACGUGUAUUAGAUGUCCAUCUUUUGCCACUGCAAGGAUUAAAGGAUGAAAAUAAAACAGUAAGAUUACCUAGGAAGAACCAAAAUUGUUUUGAAUAAAUGAACAAACAGAAAUUAAGACUAACAGAAGAAUUCAAUGUCAUAGUACGUAACCGGUCAGCCGCGAUGGGCACCCGAUACCUUACCCAACCGAGUACCAACGUAAGUACGUAACAUAUCUUUCAUAUCAUUCUAUCAUAGGUAAGUGCAGAGUAAAGCAUGAGAGAAUACAAACUUAUACAUAUGAAGUAAUGGCCUAUAAGACCAAAAUAACAACUCGUAUACUGAACAUGGGCCGACAAGGCCAUACAAUCUUUUACGUACAUGACAUCUGUCUACAAGCCUCUAAGAAUACAUAAUUUUCAUAAAGGUCAGAACAGAGUCCCUCCAUACCAAACAAUACACGUCUAAAUCAUACUAACCAAUAAAGCAACUCCGAAGCAAAGGAGCACACCAACAUCUUCCGCUGAGCUGAUAGCCUACUUGGAGGGCUUUCGACCUGUCUAUCGAGACUUGCAGGCAUGAAAUGCAACGUCCCCAAGCAAAUGGGACAUCAAUACAAAUAAUGUACCGAGUAUGUAAGGCACAUAAAUAAGUACAUAACAGAUAUGGAAGAAAUAUAAAGUAAGUGAUUCACCUAUAAGUCUGGAUAACUUUGUAAAUCAUGAAAUACUGAUAGUGUCAUUCAUACGCAUAUGAAUGUCAUGUCGUGCAUAAGUACAUGUGUUCAUAACAUCAUCAAGUCUCUGAGGGCAUCCCAUCAUAUCAUCUCGGCUACUGUGGCAAAUCAUCAACGUAUACCAGCUGAUCAGGUGGUGGUUCGUAUAUAAUGCCGUAACCUUUUUCCAUACCCCAUAUACAUAUAUUUACAUAUAUACACGUAUAUAACGCCAUCUGGUCAUGGGUCAAUUGAAAUGAAUGCAAUGCAUGAGAAGUACGCCAAUAAAAUCUUUCGGAGUGUCAUACGACCAUUAUACCUUUGAAUAAUAUCAUGAAGUAAACUUUAACAACUUACAUAUUUUCUGAGACCCAUGAACAAACGAUAGAAUAAUAAGACUUAUGGGAAAACAAGAAUAUACGCAUAUCUAGCAUUUCUACGAAUUGAGUAAUUUAUGGAAGUUGUGCAUUUACUCGUUUCGUUUGUAUCGUAUAGAUCAUGCUAAAAAGAAGAAAGGAUGGCCUUAACAUACCUGGAGUAGGGAAAAAUCUGUAUGAUAUUCUUGGGAAAGGUUGUAUCGUGCUCUCUUAGAACCACAAAAUCCCGUUGCGAUUAUACAAUGUAGCUUUACGUGAAUUCCUUUGCUAAAGCAAUCAUGUUUUCCAUCUCAUAUACUUGUGAAUUUGAGGCUUUUAUGGCUUAGUCAAGAUUCCUUCUAAUGGUGCCAUAACUUUUUCCUAUUUUCUAAGUUAUAGUUAUUAUGAAAAAGUAUUUAAAGAAUGACAAAGAAAUUUGAGAAUGUGAAAUCAAAGUGAUUGGAAAAGAAUAAGAACAAUGGUCUUUGGUUUGUACGGAAAUCUUGAUGUCUCUCAUUAAAUAUUUGUGAGUCGUGGUUCUUAAUGCUA